AGGCAGGCUACCCAGGUUUUAUGGUGGGUAUAUGUUACCUGACAACGGAAAGUCUCUUAUUUUAGUCUACAACUCCUUUGGCUCCCAUCUUUGUCGUUUCUAAAACCGUUUUCAGUGCCAAGGAAAAAUAACAUAAAAGCCUAGGUAAUCGAGAUCCCUACUGCAGCAGCCUGGGAAGGGCCUCUUAGGGCAUCUGAGCAGGGCGUUGGCCACGUUCCUUUUUUCCUCUCCAGGUAUCUAAAUGAGAGCCGUCUGCCGGCGUCUGAGCACCGGCAGCAGCCGCCGCAGCAGCAGUGGUGGCGGCCCCAGCUGCUGUAAUACUGGUGACGGGCCCCCUGCACAAUAUAUCAGGUGAAAUGAAAGCAGAAGCAAGAGAGGGAGUAUCAGAGCUGUCUGAAGCAUCAUUCCAAAUGGACUGCAUGAAGAUGAAAUGCGAUGGUAAUGUGAUGUGCUUAGCACACUGCCUGGCAUUCAUUCAAUGAGACCUGAUGAAGCGCCUGGGAGCCAGGGGACUCAGGAUACAGUUGCAAACAAAGUACAAUACCUGGUCUCACCACAGAAGGCAGCUCAUGUACAUAAAGACAAACUUCAGAGGCAGCCGAUGGAUUCUGCACUUCAGUCCUGCCUCUGCCACCUAAGAGAUGUGAGACACUGGGCAAAUCUCUUAGCUUCUCUGAGACUCAAUUUCCUUUUGUAUAAAAUGGUGAUAAUAAAAUCUAAAUAAAAUAUGUAGUAAAAUGGUCACACUGCCAUAUGUUGUGCUCAUGCCACAAGUACAAGUUCCAUUGCUCUUUCUCCUAGUCAUGGACUGUGGGCACCUCUACAAGGACACACUCUUUGUGCCACAGCAGACAGCAGGUUAGUGGUUCAUUAAAUUAUUGUUUUAAAGUACGAUUGUUAGAGAUCAAGAAACAGACUCAGAUGUUAAGGCUUUGGCAAAGUUUCACAGCUACUAAAUGGCAACCUAGAGCUGGGAACCCAGGUAGGUAUUUUUUUCAUGCCAAAGUUCAUUUCUCCCCAUUAUGCUUUGCCAUCGCUCUGAAAAAAAUUCUUAUCUUCUGUUAUCUGAAAGAUAAACCUAUCCAAAAUACUAGAAUUCCAAGAGCUAAAUAAUUAUGGUUCAUUAUAAAUGGACAAACUUGAACUUCAUGCAUUCCUGGGGACUCUGUCUCUUUUAAACAAAAUUCUAUGUUUAUAUGUGUUAUAAAUCAAUUAUAUCUCCGUUUUUUGGCUGUCACCUCUGUCAGUUUGGACAUUGGUAGAAACCUUUAAAUAAGCAGGUUACGCUGGUCAGUGAAGAGAGAGUUUUUCCAAGUAGAGUAGAAUGAACAGAGGGUUAAAGAGGGAAGUGUCAAAAAGCAAGGGCUGCUUAUAUGAGGAAAUGUUACCAUUUUAAUAUUCACUGAAUUCAGGGAGGGAAAACGUAUUUGCCUACACCUGAAUCAGACAAAGGAAUAGGAGUUAAUUAUUGAUUUUCAUAUUUUUUUCCACUCUAAAUGCUUGUUGAUUUAAGAGACACCAUCUUUUUAAAAACAAAACUUGGUUUGUUUUUUUUUUUGGAGGAGAAACUACUAUGCCACCAUAAAUGUAUGUGCUAAUUAUGUGCUUUCAAUCUUCUGAAGAGCUAGAAUAUGAAAAACCUGUGUGUCUCAGAAAUAAGGAAAUAAGGAAAGUACAUAAUGAUACUCAGAAAUGUACAUGUAAAGGAGGAUUAAGAUACAUGGGACUAAUGAGGAAAGGAAACAGAAACAGGAUGAAUAUAAUGGAAUAUGAUGACAUGGAGCAUGGUGAUGACUUCAGUUAUGUAUAUAUAAGCAGCUGAUAGAAGUUUGAUUUUUUUCUUACCAUGAAAAACUUACGCUGCAAACACAAAAAGAAAGGCUGUAACCUGUAUAACUCCGAUCUGCCUUGCUUCCUGCUUGGUUGCAUUCAAAGAAACUUCACUCUGGCAUCCAAAAAUAAAUAAAAAGUAGAUUACAUCAUUAUUAGUAUCUCUCAAGAAAAUGCCAAAGGGAAAUUAUACUCAAAAUAUGCAGCAAUACUCUAGAUCGACCCGCAUUUUCUCUCUGACUCUUAUCUGUUCCAUUUCAAGACCUCCAAAUUCUUCCUCUACCUCAGCCUAAAUCCUGUUUCUUUUGCCUUUCUUCUAAUUCCUAUUUGCUUUUGCUUAUUAUUGUGAAACUACCAUGCAUCCGAAGAAUGUAUACAACGUACACGUAUGACGAAUAAAGUUUGAAAAAUAAACACCUCUGUACCUCCACUCGGGCUUAGAGGCUUCUCCAAGA